GCCUUUAGCCCAAGACCGGAAGUCAUUUCCCCGAUCUGCCGCUCCCUCCCCCCAUCAUACUCUGAAUUUUGACAUAUUUCUGUCUCCGCUAAGAGCAAGAACCAUUUUCAUCAUUUCUCUGGGAGAUUUGCUGGAGUCCGGAAGAGAUGCUCAGACCUCGAUGCCAAAGGCCUGGAGCUCCAGAGAUGGGCUCCAGCUUUUGGGUUGGAGAGUUUAAAGGGCUCUGGAGAAAGUAACUAAGCUGCCACCUUGCUCAGACAAUUAAGUCUGUCAGUGAGGCAGAUCUGAUUCCAUUUUGAUGAGUGGCCAAUCGAUGCA
rnacentral:lncRNA from 1 species